rnacentral:lncRNA from 1 species
CCGAGACAGAUCCGAUUUCCACCUUUUCUUAAAUGCGCUGCUGAAAGUCGAGAAGGCCCCGGCCGGGGAGCUCGCGUCGCUUCCUCCCCCCUCAGCUCCCCUCGCACCCUGAGUCCCCCAGCCCCACUCCGGGAGGGGCCGCGAAACUGCACCCGCAAGGGCCUCAUACAUAUUUUAAGGAGCAGGCCAGGCAGGUAACCGGAGCUGGACUCGGACGGUGAGGGGGCGGCCCCCGGGGACCUGAUACCCUGGAUCCCUUACGGCUCAGGGCUCAGGCGGGGGAAGAGGUGGCUCAGGACGACCUGGGGUCCUCACUUUGCUGGCCUGUCCAGCGCAUCCUAAGCCCGCGUGUAUCCUACCCCCUCCUUCUGCAGAUCCAAUGUCCGUCUGGCAAUUGCCCCAUUCCCUCUCGCUGGAGAGAUCCCUUCCGCCUCGCCACAGGCGUCCCACGCUGCCCGGAGUCGUGCGCCCCGGGACGGGUAGUUUUGGGUUCCUCGACGCUUGGCCAGGUUUAGGAAAGACCCGCUGUCUUCCUUGCUGCCCCCACCUAGGAGACUCGGCGCCUUGCGCUCCGUCCUUUUUAAUGGUGUCGCGGCUUGUCCCUCUGGCUUGCUCCCUCCUAGUCCCUACCCCACACGGCUCCCUUCGCCAGCUCCAUGACAAUCCCACUCGUGCUGAAGACCUUGGGCAAAGAAGUAACCAUCGGUCUUCCCCUCCCUUCCCAUUCCUCCGGCGGCAGGACUAGGGGGAAAGGUGCCCGGGAUACAAGCCCCUCACGCAGACCCACUGAUGCGGCCGUGGUUCUGCCAUUGGCCCCUCUCCGAAUGGAUGACUCGCACCUCUGGGGAUGAAGAAAAUGCACAUGUGAGCACGUGGGUACUUGGCGACCCGGAGAUCUCUGCAAACUGCAGGCCCAGCGAGAUGGCCU